UACUUAAAAACUGAAAGCUUUACUGUAUA
rnacentral:piRNA from 1 species